rnacentral:lncRNA from 1 species
AAUCGACCCUGUGACAUUCUUCUGGACAAUGAGUCCCAUCAUCUCUCCACCAUGCACCUUGUGACUCCCUCCUCUGCUGACAACAGAUAACCACCUUUAACUCCUGUUUAGGUGGUCUUCUAUACGGACAUGCUUGACACUUGGUGCCAAAAUCUGGGCCAGGGGGACUCCUUCGUGAGACCGGCCCCCUGUCCUGGCCCUCAUUCCGUGAAGAGAUCCACCUGCGACCUCGGGUCCUCAGACCAGCCCAAGGAACAUCUCACCAAUUUCAAAUCGGAUCUCCUCGGCUUAGUGGCUGAAGACUGAUGCUGCCCGAUCGCCUCAGAAGCCCCUUGGACCAUCACAGAUGCCGAGCUUCGGGUAACUCUUACGGUGGAGGGAUCUGCAAUCAGAACUAUUGAACUUCUCCAUUCAGACCGCCACUCACACCUAUGGGAAAAGGGUAAUGUAUCAUCGGCUUAGCAACAGGGAAUACUAUUCGUAUGAUGGAAAAUGGGGACAAAAGGCUUUGGUACAUAAAACAUUAUUCCUUCCUUGGCCUAAAAACUCAUCGCCACCUACAUUAAAGCUAAUAUGCCUGA